rnacentral:rRNA from 1 species
ACUCCUACGGGAGGCAGCAGUAGGGAAUAUUGCGCAAUGGGGGCAACCCUGACGCAGCAACGCCGCGUGAGUGAGGAAGGUCUUCGGAUUGUAAAACUCUUUUAUUUGGGAAAAAUGUCUAUGAAGUUAAUACCUUUAUAGAGUGAUGGUACCAAAGGAAUAAGCACCGGCUAACUUCGUGCCAGCAGCCGCGGUAAUAC